rnacentral:rRNA from 1 species
UACGUAGGGAGCAAGCGUUGUCCGGAAUCAUUGGGCGUAAAGCGCGCGUAGGCGGCCCGAUAAGUCCGCUGUGAAAGUCAACGGCUCAACUGUUGGAUGCCGGUGGAUACUGUCGGGCUAGAGUACGGAAGAGGCAAGUAGAAUUCCUGGUGUAGCGGUGGAAUGCGCAGAUAUCAGGAGGAACACCUAUAGCGAAGGCAGCUUGCUGGGACGUUACUGACGCUAAGGCGCGAAAGCGUGGGGAGCGAACAGG